CCCAAACCCACAGCCCGUGUGAGUGUUCCUUCUCCCUGCAGUCCGAGUGGGCCUGAGGGCAGAAGUGUGAGCAGUGCUUCCCUCCUGUUGCACUGAGGCAUCACUGGAAAAGACAGUUUCAAGCCCAGCAAAGCUACUGCUGUGCGGAGGUCUCUGAGCAGCAUCGCCGCCGCAGCUCAGUAGUGUGCCGCCUGCUCACGUCCUGCUGGAGCCAGAGGACAGGAAAGCAAGCAGCAUUCUUACUGCUGUGUUUCAGAUUGUUCUUUCUGAUGAUUUCGGCUGUGCUUUCCCUCCUGCUGUCUGCUGCUUUACCCCAAACGUCCAAGCAGAGACUGGAGGGACAAAACAGCAAAUGCCUUCUCAGGGAGAUGCUUUUCUUUGUAGUAGUUUUUUUGAGGAUAUUGAUCUUUUUUACAGUACUUCAGGAAAACACGGGGCCUCGUGCUGCCACAGGUAGUGAUAGUUCGAUAGGGUGAUAGUGUUGUCUCAGUUAUACAGAUACAGGAGAGGAAACCAAUCUGCAUAGCUAACCGUUGGACUUGCAUCCUUCCACCUCUGGUACAUGACGGUGUGAUCCCAGGAAUUUGAUUUUGUUGAUUUGCUCAUGGGGAAUGCAUCUGAAAGACAGAAUUCUUCCCUCACUGUACCACAAAGGAGAAAAAAAAAACAAACCCAAAACCAACUCGAUGGCAUUUGCAGCUUACCUACAGUCGUUGCUCCAGUGGUCAGCAGCUUGGAUGCUUUAGAGCAAAGCUCCCAGCCCAACACCUCGGGGAUUGACUGAAAUAUUUCUCCUGGUGUUAUCAGCUCAGGGCCAUCUUCCAUACCUCGCUGUUGCCUCGUGGCACAGCCCAUGGAUUUAAUAGCUUAAUAAUAUUUACAAAGCUUAGUCACAGCCACUGGAUUUCAUCACCUCCAAGGAGUGCCUCAAUGGCUGCUGCUUUGCAGAGCUUCGGGAUGCAACUGAAAUUGCUGUUGCACCUGCAUGCAAAAUGUGCUCUGUGGGGUCCUCUAGUGUUGCAGCUGUGCAAAUAAAAGCUGGCUGCUACCUAGCAGCCAGCAGCACGCAUGUCAGCUCAAGCUUCCAGUGUCAAAGAGCAUCUUGCUACGGUCUGAGGAAUGGGGAUAUUUCCAUUAUCCCCUUGCAAACAGUGAAAUCCUGACGGUAUUUUCCACCUGGUGGAUGCUCUGCCUGCCUAUUAAAGGAAUAAAUUGGGUGUUUCAAUUAUCUUUGACAGGAUGUAAAAUGGGCUAGCUUUACAGUGUUAAAUAUUUAAACAGGACAUAAUUGGCUUUAAAUUUAUGGCAGCUCAUAGCAGAAACCCAUGAAAUGGCAGUAUGUAUUGAGCUCAUUUAUUAUCCUUUCGUGGGGUCCGUUUCCUUAGCAGGUAUGUAUUUAACACAAGAAAACAUCUGCAGGCAUAAGAGUUAAGAGGAAGGGCUGGCUGGGGAGAGAGAAUAGAAACACAUUUUCUUUCCCCUCUCGGUCACUUUGUCCGGUCUGCCCAGUUCAGCAGCAGUCAGGGGUCUGACCCUGGUGACUGUGCUCCCAGGUUUGCCCUAACAGUAGUUUCUUGUGUAUGGAGUUUGGUGGUCUGGGCAGAAAACCACAUCACAGAACUCUUUGUGCCUCCCCUGCCCUGUACCAGGGAAAUCAAGGAUCAGAUGGGUCACAGGGGGUGACCUAAACCUGCAGGAUGAGGCAUACUGCUGGGUGUGGAAGUCUGACGGCCUCCUGCUGCCCGCUCACAUCCAGCUGGGACACCAUAUGUGCCAGUCUGUCCCUGCUGACUGCUCCUGAGCUCAGGGUAGGGCACUGGUAUUCCUCUGUGGACACAAAUUCAUCUGCACUUCACGUCUGCAUUCAAAGGGCGCUCCGGUGAUGGAGAUAUCUUACCAGCUUCUUUGCCUGAUUGGUAAUUUAGACAGAUUUAGUAUUUUUCUUUCAAGACUGUACUGUGUAUUUCAUCGAGCCCUAUUGCCUGAGAGCAGUAACCGCUACCAACGUGGGACUGGAAUCUCAGCUUCUCUGAACGGAUUGGGUUUGGCAUCUGUCCAGCUUCUCCUAUGAUACCAGGCAAACCUUUCGUAGCUCGUGAUGUGGUGCAGGGGUGGAAACUGCCUCAGCCAGACAGUAAAUGCUCUGGGAUCAGCUUAGUAGCAUUCCUUUGGGAAUUUAAGUACUCCUUCUCUUGGAAACAAAAAAAAAAAUCUAGCAUUUGCUACCUCUCAGCUGGGAAACCACAGGAGAAAACAGGAGUCUCUGAAAAUGUGACUGCUUUAGAGCAAGCAGAAUUCCAUGCUGUUUUGGGCUACUCUGCGUGCAGUCAAAAUCCCACUCCGUAACUUCAGCUUCCACUUCUAUGCGGAGACUGGGAAUGAAAUUCAGCACCUACAAAAGGCAGGCAGAAUUCCAGUCGUCUUCAGAGACAGCAUCUAACCCUGGAUUUUCUUAUUUGAAAUGAUCAACACUUUCUUUUUGCCGCAGUGAGUUUCAUUUUCAGUGCAGCCAAAUCCUACCUCUAAGCAAAUGCCUUUCCAGUGUUUCUAAGCUUGGACAGUUUGGGUCUGAAUUGUAAACAGGUCACUGCAGUUGGAUUAGAACAGCGCAGAUGACACAGAUUUGUUAUCCAGCGAAGUUUUAAGAUUCUCACAAAUGGUUCUGGUUUGGAUGUAGGCAUAAAAAGAGUUGGCGAUUUGCAAAUGAACCUUGGAGUUUAUUUUUAAUAAAGGUAUAAAACUUUUAGUACCUCGGGCAUCUGCUCUGCCUCUUCUGUGUUUAACAGCCUCAGCACAUGCUCACAUCUCUAGGCACACUUGUUUCUGUAUCUGAACCAGAGUGCUGAGCAUUAUAAAAUGUGAUACGGUUACUCAGGGGAACCCACAGACCUAUAAGAAAGGAGUAACCAGCAUGAAUGACAUGAGGAAAACCACCCUGCCUAAACCCAAGUGUUGGGCCUCCUGUGUAUCUUCCGGCACCUUGUGAAUGGCUUGAUCAGGAUACAGG
ensembl:lncRNA